UGUUUUGGUUUAUUGGGAAAAUGUUUGGACAACUAUUCGAAAGGUCGGAGGUUCGAACCCUUCAUGGCAA